rnacentral:misc_RNA from 1 species
AAGUCGUAACAAGGUAACCGUAGGUGAACCUGCGGUUGGAUCAUUACCAAAUAUCCAACGGGCUCCCUUGAAAGAGGGAGCCCUACCCACCUCUUGUGCAACGUAACGUCUUUGGCAGGGGCGCUUUUCGCCUUGUCAAGUCUUCUCCCUGUCUUUCGUGAGAGAGCGGGCCGGGAGGCUUGGCGAGUCGUGGAAGGCGCUUUGCGGAGGGACAUCCUCCGACUGCCAAAAUACAACACACUCCAUACCCUACCUUACACACCUGACGCUAACAUGCGAGCCUAACAAGCAAGCACGAUAACGAAAAAACAACUUUUGACAACGGAUCUCUUGGCUCUC